rnacentral:rRNA from 1 species
CAGUAGCCGCGGUAAUCCGAAGGGUGCAAGCGUUACUCGGAAUUACUGGGCGUAAAGCGUGCGUAGGUGGUGGUUUAAGUCCGUUGUGAAAGCCCUGGGCUCAACCUGGGAAUUGCAGUGGAUACUGGGUCACUAGAGUGUGGUAGAGGAUAGUGGAAUUUCCGGUGUAGCAGUGAAAUGCGUAGAGAUCGGAAGGAACAUCUGUGGCGAAGGCGACUAUCUGGGCCAAUACUGACGCUCAUGCACGAAAGCGUGGGGAGCAAACAGGAUUAGAUACCCGCGUAGUCCCUGUCUCUUAUAC